UUUUUUGUUAAGCUUAUGUAUGAUCGUUUAUUUUUUCCUUGGGGGAAAGGAUGUUAAAAUUAUUAAAUUUUAAAAAUAGAUAUAUAUUUGGUUUAUGAAUUAAGUUUUGUUUGACCUACAUUGUUUUAGAUUUUGGAUUAUUGGUGUAGUGCUUGUAUGAAAUUGUAAAAGACAGUA
rnacentral:rRNA from 1 species